GGACUACACGGGUAUCUAAUCCUGUUUGCUCCCCUUGCUCUCGCGCCUCAGCGUCAGGAAAUAGCUAGAAAACCGCUUUCGCCACAGGUGUUCUUCCACAUAUCUACGCAUUUCACCGCUACACGUGGAAUUCCGUUUUCUCCGCCAUCCCUCUAGUUUUGUAGUUUCAAAUGCAGCUCCAGAGUUGAGCUCUGGAAUUUCACAUCUGACUUACAAUUCCGCCUACGCGCCCUUUACGCCCAAUAAUUCCGAUUAAUGCUUGCACUCUCCGUAUUACCGCGGCUGCUGGCAC
rnacentral:rRNA from 1 species